UUAUUUUCUAUUACAAGUGUGCAUUUGUCAUGUCUCACUAAUUCAUAAAAAAUAUAUAGCGAGAGUGCCACACCAACAAACAAGAAGCUUUGCUACCGUUCGCUCUCAAAGCACCUAACCUUCUCUUCCUCCGAAUCUGCAAAAUUAUGCCACUUCUCCUUUUCUUUUCUCAGAAUUUGUUACACAAAUUUGCAAAGAACUCGAUCAUCACCUUGAUAGGAGCAUAUUUAUGCGACUUAGUUGGCUUGUUCUUAAGCAUUUAUGUUGUUUUUCUUUAGUUAUUUUAGUGUUUAAAGUCAUUUUCGUGCAAUUUCAGGUUUAGAGACGAAGUAUGCAAAGAAGUGCAAAAUGGAGCAUUUUAGAGCAAAAUUGAGCUGGAAUGGAGUGUAUGCUAAUGGAGCACAAGGAAUGGACGAGUUUGAAGGUCAAAGGAGCUUAAGAAAUGAAGAAAUGAAAGUGAAGAACAAAGAAUUCAGAUUUGGAAACCAAAGUUUCUAAAGUUGGAAGUUUCUAUUCUUGGAGGUUUCCAUUUUCGAGAGUUUCUAUUCUUGGCUUUGGGCUUUUAGAUGACCUAAACCCUAAUUCCUUGUGGACCCUAACCCUAGCCGCACCUAGGCCUCUAGAAUAUCUGAUUUCCUUGCCUUGCAAGGCAUUCUAGAAGGCCCAUCUCUAAACCCUAACCCUAGCCACACCUUAGGCCUUAUUCCCACUAAAAAUCUGAUUGUUUUAACCUAAUUUCUGGUGGAUUUGGGCUUCUAGAAACCCUAAUCUGAUUGCUAGGGUUUUGAAGUGCCUAUAUAUACUCAUUAAACCCUUUUGGCCGGAUAUAUCACCUCCCAUAUACAUCAUUCACGUCAGAAACAAAGAGGCUCUCUUUGCCGCACCUUUCCACCACUAUAUUCCAUAUUUUCUGCCCAAAAUCAUCCCUAGCCGCACCACCCAUCAACCCUACACCUUUCCAUACCAUUCCCCAUCCAUUCUACACCAUAAAAAGCACCCAAAACCUGUUCUAAAGUUCUCUGCCGUAGCAAGGAGGAAGGAGAAUUCUUGGAUGCGCUUGCUGCCAAGUUGGAGCGUUCUAGGUGUUUUCUUUCUUUGGAUUUUAAUUUCUAAAUUUAUGUAUCUUUGCUUUGCGAGUAUGAGGAACUAAACCCCCCCCUUGGCUAGGGGGGGAUUCGAAACCAUGUUUAUGCUUGCUAUAUGAUUUGAUUACUUCUAAUUGCGUUUCAUAAGUUGUGAAUUCAAUUUACUUAUCUACAAGAAUUAAAACUGAUUUGUGUAUGUUGGUUGAGGGUCGACACUUAAUUUGCAUGCAUGAAUUUGAUGCUAGGAUAUAAGGAAAUUUCACCUAAUCGUUAUGGACUUAUAAUCAUAAGUAGUAAAGGUUGAUGAUCUCAAUCGCGUUAAGUAAAUUCUUGGCAUAAGUUUCAUGCAAUCAUAGUAACAAGUGCUUCGUCAAUGCUUAUGGUUUUCAUAGAACUUAAUGAUUCUUGCUUGUAUCUCUAUUAUGCAAUCAUGUAGGGGACUUGUGGGGAAUGCUUUGGGUUGUCGUAUGCAAUCAUCCAAUUCAAUAACGUUAGGAAAAUCUGAAGGUUAAUUUAAGCGGACCUAAUUAACUUGGGGCGUUGAGAAUUCAUGGGUUAUUGAAAAGCAAUUGGAAAUCGUUUUGAAUGCAAGUAUAACAUGUGUGGAGAUGAACCCCUUAGCUAGCUUUCCAUCCAUUCAUUUAAGCCAAAUUCGUUUUAAAAUCUGUUCUAGUUUACAAAGUUUUGUUUUGUUUUUAAAUUCGUCCAAAAUCAAUCCCCCUUUUCUUUGUUGAGUCAUAUUAGUUAGAAGUCAAGUUAGUUUGUGUUUUCAAGUGUUUUGAGUCAAGUUAAAACCUAAUUUCGUCCAAGUUUGUGUCUAGUGUUCAAAACUGCCCAGAAAGUGUUUUUAAGGCAGUUUUGAGUGUUUUGGUGCUGUUUUGAGUCUUUUGGUUUGUUUUGGUAUUUUAAAGUUUAGUUUUGCAUUCUUUGAGUCUAGUUUAGUGUUUUAAACUUGUUUUUACGUAUUUGAGUCAGUUUUCAAGUGAUUUUGCAAUCCCUCCUAAUCCCCGGCCUAGAACGAUCCCUACUUACAUACUUACUACAAUUGAUAAAAAGAGGGUUAAUUUGAGUGCUAGUUAAUAUCAUAUCACACCUUUCCCCUCAUUUUUAUUUUCGAAAAAUGUUACACUUCUAUAAAAUGAUUGCAAAUUCAAUCUAUCAUCAUUAUUAUAUAUGCUUCAUUUACUUUAGAAAUGGAUGCAUGGUUUAAAUUCCAUACUAAUUGAAGGAAUUCUUGCGAUAUUAAGUCUUUUUACAUACAAAAAUAGCAAUAUUCUAUGAAAUAGAAAAACAUACAAAAAUAGCAAUAUUUUAUAAAUUAAAAAAAAAACAAAAAUCUUCUAAAGCUCACUUGAAAAAUCAAAUUUUCUACAUCCCCAUAGUGAAACAAGGACGGUUGGUUUUGUUUAUUAGUUUGGCACGUGUGGUAGUUGGAAUAAUGAAAGUGGGAUGGUGGGCGGUAGAGGAAAAUGGAAGCGGGGAUGGUGGGCACCAAUUCAGCACCUUCAUAUUUAAUAAGGUAACAGGCUUUCUCCAUCAUAAAAAAUGUAACAGGCUUUCCGUUAGGGGCAAGUUUGGAAAAAAAGUAUUUAUUGUGUUGGGCUUUCAGCUCAGCCCAUGAGCUUUUAUGUUUGCAG
rnacentral:lncRNA from 1 species